GCCUGGGUGGCUCAGUUGGUUAAGCAUCUGACUUUGGCUCAGGUCAUGAUUUCAUGGUUCGUGGGUUUGAGCCCCGCGUCGGGCU
rnacentral:tRNA from 1 species